rnacentral:rRNA from 1 species
AGCGAACGCUGGCGGCAGGCCUAAUACAUGCAAGUCGAGCGCACCUUCGGGUGAGCGGCGGACGGGUGAGUAACGCGUGGGAACGUGCCCUUUGGUACGGGAUAACUGAGGGAAACUUCAGCUAAUACCGUAUGUGCCCUACGGGGGAAAGAUUUAUCGCCAUUGGAGCGGCCCGCGUUGGAUUAGGUAGUUGGUGAGGUAAAGGCUCACCAAGCCUACGAUCCAUAGCUGGUCUGAGAGGAUGAUCAGCCACACCGGGACUGAGACACGGCCCAGACUCCUACGGGAGGCAGCAGUAGGGAAUCUUGCGCAAUGGGCGAAAGCCUGACGCAGCCAUGCCGCGUGAAUGAUGAAGGUCUUAGGAUUGUAAAAUUCUUUCACCGGGGAAGAUAAUGACGGUACCCGGAGAAGAAGCCCCGGCUAACUUCGUGCCAGCAGCCGCCGUAAUAC